rnacentral:misc_RNA from 1 species
UGGAAAGAAGAGCAUGUGAGUUCUUUCUAUAAUCUGUUCGAGUUUUGCUUUUGCGAUUAUUUGGAUUCUGUUAAAAACCUGAAAAUAUCAGUGGGUACAUCCUUUUUUCAUUUGACUAGAUUCUUGCAUAUGUUAUAAUUAUCAUAACAGUAUGAUAAUUUGGUUUAUUGCUAUAGCUUGCUCAAUUCUCUUAAGGUUUUUUAUUUUUUUUUAAUACUAAAAGUGCCAAGUUCAAAAUUAGUUAAGAGUAUGUUUUUGAAGUAUAUAAGUCAAACAAGUAGCGGCAAUUGAGGCUUCAACUUUAUUAACUAAACCACAUUUUGCCACACAUUUCUUGUCUGUUAACUUGCUAUAGUUAAUGGCAAGUUUUGUCUUAUCAAAUCUUGGGCUUGAGUAAUCCUCUCAACUUUCUUAUGGCAAAUUGACUCUUAGAUGAGCUGACUCGGGUUUAGGUUAUAAUUAUUUUUUUUUAAUUGCAAAAGAUACCAAUAUAUGUCAGGUCUUUCUUUUUGUAAUUUUGCAUAUCGGCGUGCACAAGAGAGAUAGAAACAAGCAAAGAUUGCCAGUCUUCCGUGUCAUCAUUCUAGCUGCCCAAUUAGAGAUUGCAUUCUGUGAGGUCAUGGCCUUGCUUGAAUCAAGGUUUCUAUCUGUGAGGAAGUUGUUAGAGUAAAAGUGGUAUAAGGAUAGAACUACAGUCUCCUUGCUAAAAGUCACUACUCUUUCUGAUAUUACAUGCAUAAUGAUUUUUUAGAUUUUGGAAUUCUUUGUGCACCUUUUUUGUAUCAUUCGUAUGAUUAAGUUUGUUUAAUCUUAUUCCUCUUGCCCAUGAUUUUAUUUACACCUACAGUUUGUGAUCGUCUCUUUAACUGGAUGGGGAUUACUUUUCUUUGGAGGUUACAAGUUCUUCACUAGAGGCAAGAAAGACAAGAAAGAAGAGGUACUUCAUCACUAAUUCAUGGGGUUUGAUACUUAAAUUAAUUUCAAUCUGGCAGCACAAGAAUUGUAUAUUCACCUCAAAAGCCUCCACCAAUUAGUGGAAUCAGCUACAUGAAUUCUUCAAUGCAUCCUGUAUUGGACUAUAGUUUUCCAAGAGAUUUUUAAAUACUCAAUUAUUUCUUUUAACUUCAGAUAAAAAUUAUAUGAUUAAUCUAUAA